UACGAAUCUUAUGCCCCAUGUGGUUUUGUUGUGAUUUUCAUUUGUUGACAGCCGUUAAUUCCAUGGUAUUUAUGAUUGCUGUCCGAUUGACCUCGUACUUCUGUGGAAUGAGAUUAAUGUGAGACGCUCAGCUACUUCAACACCGACAGGGAUCCAGAGAGAGGACCAUUUAGACUCAAGGGAAGUUCUGUUUUCCACUCCAACAAGCCCAGGGACAAGGAUUGCAUCAGAUUCCAGAGAUUAGUAAUAGAGUGAAGAAAGAUACGAAGACCAAUUAUGAAGAUUUCAGAAGUUUUACAUUGCAGUUUCCCAGUCUGGUACCCAAAAUUUAAGCACAUUUCAAUCAAAAGCAUAUUGAUACCCUUGCCUGGGGAAUUCUUGGAGUACCUACACACCGACGGUGUUGUGUUGCCAGAAGGGUGUCUGGUGACGUCAGAAGACAGAGAUUCGGAUGAAGAUAGAGUAGGAGAGGAGCUGGAUGUUGACUGGGACAGCGAUACUGUAGAAGCUACUGCACCAAGCUUUCCAGAAUUUGAUGCAGCAAUUAAGAAGGCCAUCAAGAUGUUGGGUGGUAAAGUGUUCCCCAAACUCAACUGGAGCUCUCCUAGGGAUGCCACGUGGAUUGCAUUCGACAAAAGUUUAAAAUGUACCUGUCCCAGUGAUGUGUACUUAUUACUGAAAAGUUCAGAGUUCAUCACCCAUGACCUUACUCAGCCGUUUAUUCAGUGCGAGGAUUUUGAUGAGAGGGAUGACCAGACAGACGUGGGAUACAGCUUGAUACUCAGACGAUGGCAGGACUUAAACCCGGGGUAUGAGUUCAGAUGUUUUGUUCGGAUGAAUACACUUAUAGCAAUAUGUCAGAGAAACCACACUGCAUUUUAUGAUUUCAUUAGACACGAAAAAGAGGACAUUGUAUCAGACAUUCGGUCCUUCUUCUAUCACAUGAUUCAUUUGAAGUUUCCCAAUGAGAGCUAUGUCUUUGAUGUUUACAGGAGAGACCAGGGGAAGUUACUCCUGUUGGACUUUAAUCCGUUUGGAGUUGUGACAGAUGGUUUGAUGUUUACAUGGGAUGAACUGACUGACAGUGAUACAAACCUCAGGGGUACAGACAACGAAACACAGGUAAAUAUAGUGGAUCAGACAAACACAGGUAAAUAUAGUGGAUUAUCAGACAAACACAGGUAAAUAUAGUGGAUUAUCAGACAAACAUAGGUAGAUAUAGUGGAUUAUCAGACAAACACAGGUAAAUAUAGUGGAUUAUCAGACAAACACGAGUAAAUAUAGUGGAUUAUCAGACAAACACGAGUAAAUAUAGUGGAUUAUCAGACAAACACAGGUAGAUAUAGUGGAUUAUCAGACAAACACAGGUAGAUAUAGUGGAUUAUCAGACAAUGAAACACAGGUAAAUAUAGUGGAUUAUCAGACAAUGAAACACAGGUAGAUAUAGUGGAUUAUCAGACAAUUAAACACAGGUAAGCUGUUAAAUAUGCUGGGAUGAUAGAAAACAGAAACACAGGAAAUUGUUGUGAGUUAAUCGUACUACAUCAUCAGAUACUCACAGCUGAUCUCGUGAGUAAAAGACCAGUAGAAGAUGAGAUCAGCUGUUGGUGUCCUGUGAUGAUCAUACUAGAGAAUACAUGUAAUUAUGGUGCAAGGAAAUGCAGGUUAGAAAAUUAUCCUUAACCUCCGUAAAUGGAUUAAAGCAUUCUAACAUUUCACUGCAUGUAUAAAAUUACUUUAUGAAUGUUCUGUUGAGUUUCAUAUUUUAGAGUUCAAUUGCAUUAAAAACUAUUUUGUCCAUUACCAUUAUUUUUUAUAAAACAGCAAACUAUGACUUGUUUUCAUAUUUGAUUAUCACUCAUCUGAUCAUAUCAUGCACCGUUAUGUAAAAAAAAGUGUAC